AAGACUGUUAGAAAAGCAUUAGAACAUCCAGGGUGGCAAAAUGCCAUGAUAGAGAAAUGACUGCUCUUCAUACUAAUGGUACUAGGGAAUUGGUUUCAUUGCCACAAGGUAAAUUUGCUGUUGGGUGCUAGUGGGUUUAUACUCUGAAAAUAGGUCCAGAUGGGAGGGUGGAUUGAUUGAAAGCUUGUCUUGUUGCCAAAAGCUACACUCCGAUUUAUGAGCUUGAUUAUGGUGAUACGUUCCCUCAGGUAGCUAAAAUUACAUUAGUUCGACUACUUAUCUCUUUGACAGCAAUGCAUCACUGGACACUUCAUCAACUAGAUUUUAAAUAUGCCUUUUGCAUGAUGAAUUGAUUGAGGAAGUAUAUAUGGAGCAAUCUCUAGGAUUUGUUGCUUAAGGGGAGUUUGGCUUAAUAUGCCGUCUACGACGUGUGCUAUAUGGUUUGAAACAGUCUCCAAGAGUGUGGUUUGGAUGGUUAAGUACUGUUGUUCUGCAGUUUGGAAUGACUCGAAGUGGAGCUGAUCAUUCAUUAUUCUUUCGCUAUGGUAAUCAUGGUAAAUGUAUUUAUUUGGUAGUCUAUGUUGAUGACCUUGUCAUAACAGGAAAUAACCAUGAUGGAAUUACUCAGCUUAAACAAAAUUUGUUCGAUCAUUUUCAAACUAAAUAUCAGGGAAAAUUAAAGUAUUUUUUGGGAAUUGAGAUAGCACAGUCCACAUCGGGAAUUACUAUUGCCCAAAGGAAAUAUGUUUUGG
rnacentral:misc_RNA from 1 species